rnacentral:rRNA from 1 species
CCUACGGGACGCAGCAGUGGGGAAUAUUGCACAAUGGGGGAAACCCUGAUGCAGCGACGCCGCGUGGGUGAAGAAGUAUUUCGGUAUGUAAAGCUCUAUCCGCAGGGAAGAUAAUGACGGUACCUGAGUAAGAAGCCCCGGCUAACUACGUGCCAGCAGCCGCGGUAAUACGUAGGGGGCAAGCGUUAUCCGGAUUUACUGGGUGUAAAGGGAGCGUAGACGGCAUGGCAAGUCUGAAGUGAAAGCCCGGGGCUCAACCCCGGAACUGCUUUGGACACUGUGCAGCUAGAGUGCGGGAGAGGUAA